GAUGAACGCUGGCGGCGUGCCUAAUACAUGCAAGUCGAGCGAACAGACGAGGAGCUUGCUCCUCUGACGUUAGCGGCGGACGGGUGAGUAACACGUGGAUAACCUACCUAUAAGACUGGGAUAACUUCGGGAAACCGGAGCUAAUACCGGAUAAUAUAUUGAACCGCAUGGUUCAAUAGUGAAAGACGGUUUUGCUGUCACUUAUAGAUGGAUCCGCGCCGCAUUAGCUAGUUGGUAAGGUAACGGCUUACCAAGGCGACGAUGCGUAGCCGACCUGAGAGGGUGAUCGGCCACACUGGAACUGAGACACGGUCCAGACUCCUACGGGAGGCAGCAGUAGGGAAUCUUCCGCAAAGGGCGAAAGCCUGACGGAGCAACGCCGCGUGAGUGAUGAAGGUCUUCGGAUCGUAAAACUCUGUUAUUAGGGAAGAACAAAUGUGUAAGUAACUAUGAACGUCUUGACGGUACCUAAUCAGAAAGCCACGGCUAACUACGUG
rnacentral:rRNA from 1 species